rnacentral:rRNA from 1 species
UACGGGGGGGCAAGCGUUGUUCGGAAUUACUGGGCGUAAAGGGCUCGUAGGCGGCCAACUAAGUCGGACGUGAAAUCCCCAGGCUCAACCUGGGAACUGCGUCCGAUACUGGAUGGCUUGAAUCCGGGAGAGGGAUGCAGAAUUCCAGGUGUAGUGGUGAAAUGCGUAGAUAUCUGGAGGAACACCGGUGGCGAAGGCGGCAUCCUGGACCGACACUGACGCUGAGGCGCGAAAGCUAGGGGAGCAAACGGG